AACGCGUUAUCUCAAUGGUUAGAAUAUUGCGCUACGGACACAAUGAUACAGGUUCUAUUCUUGUACGCG
rnacentral:tRNA from 1 species